rnacentral:misc_RNA from 1 species
AAUAAAUUUUAAAUCAAAAGUUAAAAAUAAGUAGUCAAACUAAUCACCCUCUUAAUGUGUUCAAAUGAUUUUUUAUACUCAUUUUGGUGUAAGAAACAUGACUAUUCUCCCUUGUGGUGAAUUUGUUCUUUAUGAUAUUAAUUGUGCUCAGAGUUUGCAUUCUCUUGAUUUACCUGAUGUUUAAUUUUCUGUUCCUGCAGGUU